rnacentral:rRNA from 1 species
CAAUGGGCCGAAGCCUGACGGAGCAACCCCGCGUGAGUGAUGAAGGUCUUCGGAUCGUAAAACUCUGUUAUUAGGGAAGAACAAACGUGUAAGUAACUGUGCACGUCUUGACGGUACCUAAUCAAAAAGCCACGGCUAACUACGUGCCAGCAGCCGCGGUAAUACGUAGGUGGCAAGCGUUAUCCGGAAUUAUUGGGCGU